CGAACUUGGGCUAAUUCCUAUCUUGUUGGACUGCAAACUCAGACUGUCCCACUCCAUCUUGACCCAGGUAUUUGAUAUGCUCCACAUCAGAAGGUAAAUACAUCGUUCCCUCUACUUUUAUUGUAAUCCCUAAAUUCCCAAUUUCAAUCCCCUCUCGUCCCUCGAUCCCCAAUUCUCCAUCAUCAAUCUCUAACCCUUGACCUCCUCUUCUCCCAAUUCCUUCGUCAUUUCCACGCUCUUCUCCACCUACUGUAACAAUACCCGUCGCUGGAAUCGAUCCUUGACCCCAAGGAUCAAAGCCUGGAAACUGCCCUCGCAUAACAGUAUAAUCUUCUCAUGUAUCAUUGGAUUCAUCAAGGUUCGUCCAUCAUACCAACAACUGCGUAACAAGAGGAGUCGUUGAAGAGACUGUUGAGGGCCCGAUGUGUUACUUCAAAAGACUUACAUGAAAGACUCGAUGUAAACGCAAUGAUUCAGGGCUAAGGAAGUUUGUCUAUAUGGUUGUAACUUCAGGUA